UACGGAGGGUGCAAGCGUUAUCCGGAUUCACUGGGUUUAAAGGGUGCGUAGGUGGGCAGGUAAGUCAGUGGUGAAAUCUCCGGGCUUAACUCGGAAACUGCCAUUGAUACUAUCUGUCUUGAAUAUUGUGGAGGUCAGCGGAAUAUGUCAUGUAGCGGUGAAAUGCUUAGAUAUGACAUAGAACACCUAUUGCGAAGGCAGCUGGCUACGCAUAUAUUGACACUGAGGCACGAAAGCGUGGGGAUCAAACAGG
rnacentral:rRNA from 1 species